GGUCUCAAAUCAGGUAGGAUCACCCGCUGAACUUAAGCAUAUCAAUAAGCGGAGGAAAAGAAACUAACAAGGAUUCCCCUAGUAACGGCGAGCGAAGCGGGAAGAGCUCAAAUUUGAAAGCUGGCGUCUUCGGCGUCCGCGUUGUAAUCUCGAGACGUGUUUUCCGUGCGACUCUAUGGACAAGUCCCUUGGAACAGGGCAUCGUAGAGGGUGAAAAUCCCGUACUCGCCAUGGNAAGUACCGUGCUUUGUGAUACACGUUCCAAGAGUCGAGUAGUUUGGGAUUGCUGCUCAAAGUGGGUGGUAGACUCCAUCUAAAGCUAAAUAUCGGGGAAGAGACCGAUAGCGAACAAGUACCGUGAGGGGAAAGAUGAAAAANCACCUUUGGAAAGAGAGNUAAAAGUACGU
rnacentral:rRNA from 1 species